UUUUAUUUGAGAGUUUGAUCCUGGCUCAGGAUGAACGCUGGCGGCGUGCCUAACACAUGCAAGUUGAGCGAUUUACUUCGGUAAAGAGCGGCGGACGGGUGAGUAACGCGUGGGUAACCUACCCUGUACACACGGAUAACAUACCGAAAGGUAUGCUAAUACGGGAUAAUAUAUUUGAGAGGCAUCUCUUGAAUAUCAAAGGUGAGCCAGUACAGGAUGGACCCGCGUCUGAUUAGCUAGUUGGUAAGGUAACGGCUUACCAAGGCGACGAUCAGUAGCCGACCUGAGCGGGUGAUCGGCCACAUUGGAACUGAGACACGGUCCAAACUCCUACGGGAGGCAGCAGUGGGGAAUAUUGCACAAUGGGCGAAAGCCUGAUGCAGCCACGCCGCGUGAGUGAUGCAGGCCUUCGGGUCGUAAAACUCUAUCCUCAAGGAAGAUAAUGACGGUACUUGAGGAGGAAGCCCCGGCUAACUACGUGCCAGCAGCCGCGGUAAUACGUAGGGGGCUAGCGUUAUCCGGAUUUACUGGGCGUAAAGGGUGCGUAGGCGGUCUUUCAAGUCAGGAGUGAAAGGCUACG
rnacentral:rRNA from 1 species